rnacentral:rRNA from 1 species
AGAGUUUGAUCCUGGCUCAGAUUGAACGCUGGCGGCAUGCCUUACACAUGCAAGUCGAACGGCAGCACGGGUGCUUGCACCUGGUGGCGAGUGGCGAACGGGUGAGUAUUAUAUCGGAACGUACCUUAUCGUGGGGGAUAACGCAGCGAAAGCUGCGCUAAUACCGCAUACGCCCUGAGGGGGAAAGCGGGGGACCGUAAGGCCUCGCGCGAUUAGAGCGGCCGAUAUCUGAUUAGCUUGUUGGUGGGGUAAAAGCCCACCAAGGCGACGAUCAGUAGCUGGUCUGAGAGGACGAUCAGCCACACUGGGACUGAGACACGGCCCAGACUCCUACGGGAGGCAGCAGUGGGGAAUUUUGGACAAUGGGGGCAACCCUGAUCCAGCAAUGCCGCGUGAGUGAAGAAGGCCUUCGGGUUGUAAAGCUCUUUUGUCAGGGAAGAAACAGCAGCUCUAACACAGUCUGCGAAUGACGGUACCUGAAGAAUAAGCACCGGCUAACUACGUGCCAGCAGCCGCGGUAAUACGUAGGGUGCAAGCGUUAAUCGAAAUUACUGGGCGUAAAGCGUGCGCAGGCGGUUAUACAAGACAGGCGUGAAAUCCCCGGG